UAAAAUGAGAGACUUUAAAAUUCUUUGUGCUU
rnacentral:piRNA from 1 species